AGUGACUAUGGAUAGAUAAUAAACAGAGAGUAGCAGCAGUGUACAUGUAGGUAGGGGUGAAGUGACUAUGGAUAGAUAAUAAACAGAGAGUAGCAGCAGUGUACAUGUAGGUAGGGGUGAAGUGACUAUGCAUAGAUAAUAAACAGUGAGUAGCAGCAGUGUACAUGUAGGUGGGGGUGAAGUGACUAUGCAUAGAUAAUAAACAGAGAGUAGCAGCAGUGUACAUGUAGGUGGGGGUAAAGUGACUAUGCAUAGAUAAUAAACAGAGAGUAGCAGCAGUGUACAUGUAGGUGGGGUGAAGUGACUAUGGAUAGAUAAUAAACAGAGAGUAGCAGCAGUGUACAUGUAGGUAGGGUGAAGUGACUAUGCAUAGAUAAUAAACAGAGAGUAGCAGCAGUGUACAUGUAGGUAGGGUGAA